UUACUCCUACGGGAGGCAGCAGUAGGGAAUCUUCCGCAAUGGACGCAAGCCUGACGGAGCAACGCCGCGUGAGUGAUGAAGGCUUUCGGAUCGUAAAGCUCUGUUGUUAGGGAAGAACAAGUGCGAGAGUAACUGCUCGCACCUUGACGGUACCUAACCAAAAAGCCACGGCUAACUACGUGCCAGCAGCCGCGGUAAUAA
rnacentral:rRNA from 1 species